AACGAACGCUGGCGGCAGGCUUAACACAUGCAAGUCGAACGCCCCGCAAGGGGAGUGGCAGACGGGUGAGUAACGCGUGGGAAUCUACCUAAUUCUACGGAACAACACAGGGAAACUUGUGCUAAUACCGUAUACGCCCUAAGGGGGAAAGAUUUAUCGGAAUUAGAUGAGCCCGCGUAAGAUUAGCUAGUUGGUGGGGUAAUGGCCUACCAAGGCGACGAUCUUUAGCUGGUCUGAGAGGAUGAUCAGCCACACUGGGACUGAGACACGGCCCAGACUCCUACGGGAGGCAGCAGUGGGGAAUAUUGGACAAUGGGCGCAAGCCUGAUCCAGCCAUGCCGCGUGAGUGAUGAAGGCCUUAGGGUUGUAAAGCUCUUUCAGUGGGGAAGAUAAUGACGGUACCCACAGAAGAAGCCCCGGCUAACUUCGUGCCAGCAGCCGCGGUAACAC
rnacentral:rRNA from 1 species